rnacentral:rRNA from 1 species
AUGUUAGGGGAGGAAGAAGCACAAGCUUGCAAUGUAACUGAGGAUUUCAUUGUACCAGAAACAUGUAAGUUGGAUGAUGAUGCAGAUGAUACCCCUUACUUUGAAAGUGAUGAUGAUCUUUCCUAUGAUGAGGCUAGUGAUGGAGAGGUCAAUGAUGUUAGAAGGAGAAAGACCACUCAUAAAGUGUAUGAUGAUAGUACAGAUGCACCAAAAUUUGAAGUUGGCCAGGCUUUUACUGACAGCAGGCAAUUCAAAAAUGCGCUAGUGAAAUAUGGACUGAAGAGUUUCCAUCACUUGUUAUUUCCCAAGGAUGAGAAAAAAAGAGUAAGUGCCAAGUGCAGCUGGACUGGCUGCCAAUGGAUCAUUUAUGGGUCUAUUAAUAGCAAGUAUGACUGGUUGGUGGUGCAAAGGUACAACAAUGUCCAUACAUGUGUGCCUAGGAGAGAUAAUAAACUUGUGACCAGUACUAUCAUUGCAAAGAAGUAUUUCAGACAGAUCAAAGACAAUCCAACAUGGAGGGUGAAGAAGAUGCAGGAAUCUGUACUAGAAGAUUUGCUAGCUGAUGUUAGCAUAUCCAAAUGCAAGAGGGCAAAGAAGCUUGUGAUGGACAAACUCAUAGAUUCAACUAAGGGUGAAUAUUCUAGAGUAUUUGACUACCACCUUAUCUUAGUUAGGAGUAAUCCUGGUAGUACUGUUGCAGUUACAUUGGAUCCUGAGGAGCAUGAGCAAAAUGUGUUUAAAAGGAUGUAUGUUUGUCUAGAUGGAUGCAAGAAGGGGUUUAUGGCUGGAUGUAGGAGAGUUGUUGGGUUACAUGGUUGUUUCUUGAAAGGUGCAGUACAUGGACAAAUAUUAUCUACAAUUGGGAGAGAUGCCAACAACCAGAUGUACCCAAUUGCAUGGGCAACUGUUGAGGUUGAGAGCUAUGACAUCUGGCACUGGUUUCUAUCAUUUCUUUAG